UUUCAUUCCUGAACAUAUAGCAAAAUUGGAUCAAUACAGAAUAGAUUAGCAUGGCCUUUGCGUAAAGAUGACACGCAAAUUCGUGAAGCGUUCCAAAAUUUU